rnacentral:rRNA from 1 species
AGUUGAGCGGAGAUAUAUGGAGCUUGCUUUAUAUAACUUAGCAGCGAACGGGUGAGUAACACGUAGAUAAUCUAUCCUAUACUGGGGGAUAGCCCGAUGAAAGUUGGAUUAAUACCGCAUAUAGCUAUAUAGUUGCAUGAUUAUGUAGUGAAAGAUUUAUUGGUAUAGGAGGAGUCUGCGGCACAUUAGCUAGUAGGUGAGGUAAAGGCUUACCUAGGCGACGAUGUGUAGCCGGUCUGAGAGGAUGAACGGCCACAAUGGAACUGAGACACGGUCCAUACUCCUACGGGAGGCAGCAGUGGGGAAUAUUGCACAAUGGGGGAAACCCUGAUGCAGCAACGCCGCGUGAGUGAAGAAGGUUUUCGGAUUGUAAAGCUCUGUUAGCAGGGAAGAGGAAGGACGGUACCUGCAGAGGAAGCCACGGCUAACUACGUGCCAGCAGCCGCGGUAAUACGUAGGUGGCAAGCGUUGUUCGGAAUAACUGGGCGUAAAGGAUGCGUAGGCGGUUAAACAAGUUAUAUGUUAAAUAUAUAGGCUUAACCUGUAGAAAGCAUAUAAAACUGUUUAACUAGAGUGCAGGAGAGGUAAGUGGAAUUCCUAGUGUAGCGGUGAAAUGCGUAGAGAUUAGGAAGAACACCAGUGGCGAAGGCGACUUACUGGACUGUAACUGACGCUGAGGCAUGAGAGCAUGGGGAGCAAACAGGAUUAGAUACCCUGGUAGUCCAUGCUGUAAACGAUGGGUACUAGGUGUGGGUUGU